rnacentral:rRNA from 1 species
CGGCGAACGGGGUAGGAUCACGUAGGUGACGUACCCUCAGGGCGAGGAUAGCCACGGGAAACUAUGGGUAAUACUCGAUAAUCUUCCGGAUCAAACCGGAAGCAAUGGGUGUGAUUCCACCUGAGGAGCGGCUUACGCAGUAUCAGCUAGUUGGUGAGGUAACGGCUCACCAAGGCUUUGACGCUUAGGGGGUGUGAGAGCAUGGCCCCCACCACUGGCACUGAGACACUGGCCAGACACCUACGGGUGGCUGCAGUCGAGAAUCUUCGGCAAUGGACGAAAGUCUGACCGAGCGACGCCGCGUGCGGGAUGAAGGUCUUCGGAUUGUAAACCGCUGUCAGAGGGGAUGAGGUAUACGAGAGCUAUCUCUUGUAUUUGACAGAGCCUCAGAGGAAGCACGGGCUAAGUUCGUGCCAGCAGCCGCGGUAAUACGAACUGUGCGAACGUUAUUCGGAAUCACUGGGCUUAAAGGGUGCGUAGGCGGUUUUCUAAGUCACGUGUGAAAUCUUCCGGCUCAACCGGAAAACUGCGCGUGAUACUGGAUGACUUGAGUGAGGUAGGGGUGUGUGGAACUUCCGGUGGAGCGGUGAAAUGUGUAGAGAUCGGAAGGAACGCCAGCAGCGAAAGCGGCACACUGGGCCUUUUCUGACGCUGAGGCACGAAAGCUAGGGGAGUGAACGGGAUUAGAUACCCCGGUAAUCCUAGCCGUAAACACUGAACACU